CAGCCGCCACGGUAAUACGAAGGGUGCAAGCGUUAAUCGGAAUUACUGGGCGUAAAGCGUGCGUAGGCGGUGAGUUAAGUCUGCUGUGAAAUCCCCGGGCUCAACCUGGGAAUGGCAGUGGAUACUGGCUCGCUAGAGUGUGUCAGAGGAUGGUGGAAUUCCCGGUGUAGCGGUGAAAUGCGUAGAGAUCUGGAGGAAUACCGGUGGCGAAGGCGGCCCCCUGGACAAAGACUGACGCUCAGGUGCGAAAGCGUGGGGAGCAAACAGGAUUAGAUACCCCUGUAGUCCCUGUCUCUUAUAC
rnacentral:rRNA from 1 species